AGAGCGAACGCUGGCGGCAGGCCUAACACAUGCAAGUCGAGCGGGCGUAGCAAUACGUCAGCGGCAGACGGGUGAGUAACGCGUGGGAACAUACCUUUUGGUUCGGAACAACCCAGGGAAACUUGGGCUAAUACCGGAUAAGCCCUUACGGGGAAAGAUUUAUCGCCGAAAGAUUGGCCCGCGUCUGAUUAGCUAGUUGGUGAGGUAACGGCUCACCAAGGCGACGAUCAGUAGCUGGUCUGAGAGGAUGAUCAGCCACAUUGGGACUGAGACACGGCCCAAACUCCUACGGGAGGCAGCAGUGGGAAUAUUGGACAAUGGGCGCAAGCCUGAUCCAGCCAUGCCGCGUGAGUGAUGAAGGCCCUAGGGUUGUAAAGCUUCUUUUGUGCGGGAAGAUAAUGACGGUACCGCAAGAAUAACGCCCCGGCUAACUUCGCGCCAGCAGCCGC
rnacentral:rRNA from 1 species